GAUGAAGAACGUAGCGAAAUGCGAUAAGUAGUGUGAAUUGCAGAAUUCAGUGAAUCAUCGAAUCUUUGAACGCACAUUGCGCCCCUUGGUAUUCCAUGGGGCACGCCUGUUCGAGCGUCAUCUACACCCUCAAGCUCUGCUUGGUGUUGGGCGUCUGUCCCGCCUUUGCGCGUGGACUCGCCCCAAAUUCAUUGGCAGCGGUCCUUGCCUCCUCUCGCGCAGCACAUUUGCGCUUCUCGAGGUGCGCGGGCCGCGUCCACGAAGCAACUAUUACCGUCUUUGACCUCGGAUCAGGUAGGGAUACCCGCUGAACUUAAGCAUAUCAAUAAGCGGAGGA
rnacentral:misc_RNA from 1 species